rnacentral:lncRNA from 1 species
GAUGAUUUUCUACAUGGAGUUCGGCUUCGAGGAGUAGUUAGCAGGUCCCAGGCAGGAGGCCUUGCCUUUUCGAUUUGCAUCCCUGUUUGUGUUAGCCAUCUUAUGGCAACUUGUUUUAACUAAUGUCUGUACUCAGAUAUUGUUGCUUCCGCUGACUCUUGUGUAUUCGAGCCCUCGAGGCCCCUAGGUUUUAAUAUAAAGCUUGUAUUAUUUUAAUUUGUAUCUAGAGUUGUGUUUGAUAUCUUCCUGUGAGUCCUCGAUCUUGAUCGUACACAUUUGCGUGUAUGAUUAGUGUACGGUCAAAUCGGGGGCAUCACAAGUUGGUAUCAGAGCCGACUGCUUGUAGGAAUCCCCCUUCCAAACAACUUGGCCGAAGUUGAGUCUAGUCAUUGCAAAACUUUUACUAACAUUGCUCUGUGGCUUAUGGGCCCAAGUCGCCAUUGGGUGGUAUUAGGAUCUUUUACUCCUCGUCCAUACUCUAGGGCUCUAAUAUCUCUUAUAUUCGGGUUAAAUAAUUUUACUAAAUCUGACUCUAGGUUCUCGUAACUACUUUCUCCAGGAGAGCCGCUUAUCACAGAUGAUGGCCUGCUUCACCAGAAGCUUCCGAAGAUACUCUCCGUUAUUCUCUCAAGACUUUGUGCCCACCACUUUUGCUAUUCCCGACCGCCGACAAAUCCUUAUGGUUAACUGCUUAUAGUUGUCGUUCAUACCAUCGUUCCAGUUGCCCCUGUUAUUAUUUGAUACCCUGAAAAAUUCUCCGAUAUUCCGUGAAUACCUUGUGCCCACUACUUUCGAGCUAUGUUUCGCAUUAAUACCCCUACGGAUAAUUCCUCGCACAUAACGAGUAUCCUCUCAUCACUAGUUGUUCAUGUGUUUCACACGGAUCUUCAAAAAUACUAUUCGAUCUCCCGAAAGUCCUUAGCAGCUUGUUGCUCUUGAAAUUCUUACUUGCUUGCAUUAUGGUUAAUCCCAUAAGUAUAGUAAUCUUAUUGACAACCUUUAUCAUUAACAUUGCGGGUCCGUUGAUUCAAUAUGUUGCGAACGCUUGCAAUCCUCAUCUGAAUCCUUAUAUUCAUCCUUCCAACUCAGACGUCAUUUCAAAAAUGAGCUGGAUCUCGGCCAAUCAAAUUGCCAUCGAUUGUACCCCUAAGGCUAUUCAACUUAUCCAUCCCUAAUCAGAGCAUUGCUUCUGAUCCCUUGAUUUGGAAAUCAUAAUUCCUUUGCAUUUGAGCUUUGAGUUAGUCAGUUGUUUCUAUAAUAUGAUCUCCUUGCAUUCUUUAUUCCUUUGGUUGAGUACCGAUGCUCACAUCACAUCCCUUGUGGACCACCACAUCCUUUGUUGGAUUUUAUCCGAUAGCGUCCUUAAUAUUCUAUAAGCUUGUGAGACUUUCCUCGGAUACAUAAUACCUUUGGUAAAUUGUAUCCUCUACAUUCUCAAGCAUGCUCUACUAUCGAGCUUGUGUUAUUUAUUCCUGAAAUUUGUGGUAUAUGCUCCUAAGAAGCCCCGAUGGGUUGAACCUAUGCGUUCCCCAAACCGUAUGAACCCAAAAGUUUUCGCGAGUCCUACACUUCUGUUAGUUCGCCAGAUAAAAUUUCUAAACUACAACUUCAUCAAAAGCGAGAAGUAAAAUGAAAGGUUAUGUAUUGAAGAAGUGGGAGGCAACCUUGAGCCUCUGCGUUCAUGCCCAUGGACUCGAUGUGGAACUUUUCAUCGAAGAUUCUUGUAAAUGAUAAUAAUCCCCUUGUUAUAAGUUCGUCCUGUAUCUAUUUUUGGCCCUUUGCAAUUGUGGUCCCGACCAUAUUUUCUCCUUAAUACCAUUUCUUGGACAAGUUGAAGUACUUGUCUUCUACAGAUCAUUGCACCUGUCCAACCUUUACUUUGAUCUACCGUCGAGUAUUACACUAUGAUAUCAUGAGAAUAUCAUGGAACUGCAUAACUUCUUAUGGGUUCUUCAUCAACUAUUUUUUCUCACGGAUUCCAAUUUUUCGGGGUUCUGGGUUGUCGGCAACCGAGAACACCGAUAUGUUAACCGAUUCCUCAUUCCGAUUUGAUAACCCUAUGUAAUUUUCAUUGCUUAUGAGUUUAAUAAUCUUUCAAGUCAUUCCUAGUCCGAUCAGCUAUACCAUUUAUCAUGCUGAUUUUAACUGUGCUGCCUGGUCCUUAUUUUUGGAGCACCUCAUUCGGCGAUGAGCUAAGCUUACGCCGAUCUUCCUUGUCUUAUCGUUUCACCUCGAACAACAAGCUUGAUUCCAAGUUGGUGUCGUAUCCGUGGUUCCAAUAAUCUUUCGCUACAUUAGUCCUGUUGCUUGAUGUAGCCGCUGUUCAAUUGCUUCUUCAUGGAGCCUCUCGACAAAAUUUGUCAUGAUCAUCAGCAGCAUUCUGAGCUCUUCCAGGAUAUCAAUUGAGUUAAUGAUGAGAAAUAACAUCCUUGCCCUAGAUGAUUUGUGUUAUCAUCGACCACUUUAUUGCCUUUCAUUCAACACAAACUUGUUCGUGUUUUGUAUUAUACCUUGAGAUCCUUACUAUCCAGCAUUGUUUCUUCUUUAUCUUGGAGUAUUACCAUCUUUUAUGCCAAGAAGGUCAUGAGAAUUUCACCACAUCAUAAGAAUUCUUGAUACAAGUGAUACUUCUUGCCAUAUCCGUUCAUUCCUUGAUCCCCGUGUUGUUUCUAACCAAAAAACAGACAGUUGAACUAUGAUGUGCGAUUCAAAACUUCUAGUAAUCCUAUUACUGUAAAGUUAAUGGUCGAUAUUUCAUUCUUAGACCAUUGGUUAUCGAAUCACCAUUCUAACAUUGAUCAAGCUACCUAAGCCCAUAUUUCAGGUGCGCCUUUCAACCAUUGUUUCAUUGUGUAUGCUUUCCUCGAGCAUACACCAUUAUAUCAUUUGAUCUAACAAUUGUUAUCUCCUUGUUCACAUAAUUGUGGAAAUCCAUCUUUUGGAAAUCUUGGUGAGUUGACACUGAGUUCUGCUACCUCCUCAUCCUCUCCUUGGUUUAAUGAUGAACUCUUCUUUCGGAACUCGCUUCCAUAGUUCUUUUCCCAAGAAUCUUACAAUGUCAUCUCGUCAAAUUGUGUUCCACCUUUUCUUCUCACACAUCCCGAGUCUAAGGUAUCCUUGCACUAAUCAGAUCUGAAUCUCAAUCAGAUAUGAUGGUUGGGACAUAUUUCCAAGAGCUAUAACGUUGGUAUUUAUAUGUCACGGCAAGGUGAUGUCAUGCCUAGCACACCUGGCCGGAGGACCUAUUCUUAUAGUUCCCUUAUUAACAAGGUUAGCGAUUCUUCCGUGAGGAAAUCGUAAGACUUAUUCUAUAAGUUGUUCCCGAUGGAUCCUUUCUGUGUCCAAAGUCUGAUCUUUACCCAGUGACCAUGUCAAUGCUAUCUCGAAGCAUGUCUGUGCUACUCCAAUAUUCAAUGAGAUCAAUUGAAUGACAAUGCUAUAUUUUCUUUAUCAAUUAUCCUAACACCGUUGUUGGGUAAUGUCAUGAAAUUCCUCUCCCUUUACCUAAGUGAUUUUCUACUUCUAUCCUGUCAUGGAUGUCAUGCUCUGUUUGUCCUUGGGAAGGAUAUACCCCUAAAAUAUGUGUUUAAAAUCAUUUUCCUUUCCAUUGUUCUGUUUAAUUCCAUAUUCAUCUUAUCCUUUCCAUUGUUUGGUUUGGCCUUUCUUGAGAUCUAUAUCAUCUAAGCAGUAAUAUUCUCCUGCUUAUGUAAACACCUCGGUAUACAAUUCUGUCAAGCAAGACCUUGUUACUAUUGUUGAUGACAUUCCGGUAGCCACCGAUGGACGAGAACUUUGCCUAAUGGUCUGCCUGGUUCAACGAGCAGGAAAAUGGUUCUCUUCGUCCCUCGCCCUUGGUACCGACAUUGUUGCCAACAUAACUGAUAGGAUACCCUCUGACAUGUCUUGCUAUCAUGACCGUGCAAGAUGUCAACACCCUUCCUACUUUUAACUAGAUGGUGGCCCAUAACCCAUAGUUCCAUACGAUCAAAACCUGACUCUCCUGUACAACCAUAUUGCCAAAGUUAUUCCUCGCGCUUGUUUUUGUAUGUAAUUCAUGAGUCAUCUUCCUAGAAAUCUACUUGGUAUCAGAUGCAAUACUUAUUAUCGUUGCUCUGGACCCCUCUCCCACUUUGUUCACGCAUCGAACAAUUUCCUACCCACUUAACCUUCUCAUGGUAACUUCUUAAUUUGCUCCCGAAAUUUUCUUAAAUUUUAGUUCGAGAGUUACUUUCCGCCACCUUCCCCGAUGUUAGCUACCAGGUAGUCAACCUUGCAGAGGUCCGUUCUUCUGGGAAUAACCACCCUUUAUUCUUUCGUAACUACGAUGGAGUUCCCGAAGAAAGGAUGUCGACUUCAUCAUGAUGACCUGAAGCAGAGAAAUAAAGACAUCAACGCAGAGGAUCAACUACUUUAGGAAGAGCAACCAAGACCAACAACACUUGUUAGAAUUCAUAACCGAUUCUAUCCCCUUAACUCUACCUCUUAAAUCUCGGGACGAGAUUUCUUGUAGUGGAGGAGAUUUGUGUGCAACACCCCGUAUGUAACUUGCCAUAUUUGUAUUCCAAAUCUUGCCAUUUUCGGCUCUAAGUUAUGAGAUUCGUGGUUGCGUUCUUUUCUUUGUUUUGCAUUUUGCUCAUGUCAUGCAUUUCAUAUCAUGUCAUCAUGUGCAUCGCAUGGGCAUACGUGUUUGUCUCAUGCAUCCUAGCAUUUUCCCCGUUGUCUAUUUUGCAAUCCGACACUCCUACGUCCUCCUGCACCCCCUUUUGCCUCUUUUCGGGUGCGGGUGUUAAACGUCCUCGGAUUGGACCGAGAUUUUCCAAGCGGCCUUGGUACACCACCGGUAGAGCGCCUACCUUGUUUCGUGCCAUUUGAAGUCCGUUUGAUACCCCAACAGCUAACCGGGGAACCGUAAAGGCCUCGUAUGUGUUGCAGCCCAACACCCCUCCAAAGUGGCCCAGUAACCCAUCCAAACCUAUCCCAUGUCCUCCUCCAUCGGAUCAUGAUCGCAUGGUCGAAAACCGCACUCCAUUUGGACACUCCCACCUCCUUCUAUGUAUAAAUAGGUGCCCCUCCUCCAAAUUCGCGGUCAAAACCCUAAAAAAACCUUCCCCGGCGCCGCCCGGACCAACCGCCGGCCGCCACGUGUUGCCGUCGCUUCCACCCACUGCGCGGCCCGCCGAGGCCCGUCGCCGGCCCCCACAGGCUCGAGCCACCAGCGCGCCGCCUGUCUCUCUNNNNNNNNNNNNNNNNNNNNNNNNNNNNNNNNNNNNNNNNNNNNNNNNNNNNNNNNNNNNNNNNNNNNNNNNNNNNNNNNNNNNNNNNNNNNNNNNNNNNNNNNNNNNNNNNNNNNNNNNNNNNNNNNNNNNNNNNNNNNNNNNNNNNNNNNNNNNNNNNNNNNNNNNNNNNNNNNNNNNNNNNNNNNNNNNNNNNNNNNNNNNNNNNNNNNNNNNNNNNNNNNNNNNNNNNNNNNNNNNNNNNNNNNNNNNNNNNNNNNNNNNNNNNNNNNNNNCCGGUGCGCCGCCGCGUGCCUCCGACGCCGCGGGUCGCCACCACCUUCGCACGCGCCGCCCACCGCCCGCGACUCCCCGUUGUCGCCUGGCCUCGGAUCUGGCCCCGCCGGACCGGAUCCGGCCGUCCCCGUCUACUCCGGCCGCCGUCCCCUCCAUCUCCGGCGAGGUUCAGGUGAACCUCGGUUCGUGCGCCGCCCAGAUCCAGAUCUGGAAACCGAGGUUGACCCCGAUUUUCGCCUUCAUCUGCUAUAUUUUCAAGCACUAUUCAACAUGCCAUAAGUCCUCAUCCGUAGCUCCGUUUUGUACGUGCCAUAUAUCAAAAUGUUCAUCAUGAUGUGCUAUUCACUUUGUUCCAUUGUGCCAUGCUUGUUUGAGUACAGCUUGGUGCCCAAAUAGUUGAUGCGAGAGUGCUAUAAAAUGUUAGGUGCUGAUUCUUAUCAGAUUAUGAGCAUUUGUCAUUUUUGCCAUAAUAGAUGUGUGCUGCAUAUGGACUUGAGCUCUACAUGUGUUUUCGGCUAUGACAUGCCAUCUUUACAGGGGUGUAUGCCAUGUAUUGUUGUGAUCAAUGUGGUGACUAGCACAAGCAUGCAAAGUAGCUCUUGUAAUAUUGCUGAUUUUAGGGACUUAGAAUUUCACUAAGUCAUUUCCCUGCUGUUAUUUUUAUACCAUGUAUUCAUGUUGCUACAGUGAGAUCCAUGCUUCUUUUGGGAAUGUUCAGCAAGGAUGAUUUGGGCAUAUGGUUAUGCUAUAUCCAUCUAUGCCCCUGUGUGCAUUUAUGGAGUACACUAGCAUGUAUUAAUAUUGCUCUACUUUUGUUAUAAAAUAUUCCUGGCAGAUUGUUUACGUGUUAAUCAAUUUUGCCAAGGUUGUUGUAGUUGAUCCAUGCAUGCUAUGAGCUGGUUCUUGCUUUGGUUAGCUUCAUUAUCAUGUCUUCUUGCUGAUUCUAUGCUUAUAUUGUCAUGCAAUGCCUUGUGUUGAGUGAAUCGAGCUCGCAAAGAGGCCUUCAUAACUCUGUUUAUGCCAUGCUCAUAAGUCUGAAUUUGUUAACGAAACUUGCUAUGUUUACAUGGGUGCCAUCAUAUCUUCUGUGCCUUUUUGUCUUAUGGUCAGUAAGGGACUUUUGUUCCAUGCUUUGAGUAGAUUCAUGCCAUGCCUUUGUUUGCUAUGUUCUGUUCCUAUAGCAUGUUGUUAUCUUGAUCCAAACAUUGCUUCCUGGUGUUAAUUCCUGACAUGUUAGUAUUUUCACAAAGUCUGUGAUGCUGACAUCUUUUGCACUUUUGCCAUACUUGAUUGAACCUACUCUUGUGUGAUUUAGCCGUAGCUCAGUGUUCAUCUUUUGUCAAGCAUGUUGAGUAGAUCACUGCCAUUUUCUUUGUUGCUACAUUGGGGUGCAGUAACUUAGUUUCUUGUUGCAUUCUAGAUGGCAUCCUGCUGUUAAUCACAUAAUUCUGCCAUUAUUGUUUUGCUUGCCAUUUGCAAAUCAUGCAUCCGAUUCCGGUGAUCUUUAUAUCGAUUUCGACCGAAAUCAACUCAUCUUUCUAGUGGCACACUUGGUUUUCCAAGUUGAGGACUGGUUCAUUCUUUUCCUUCCGGAGCACAGAUAUGCAUUGCAUAUCACAUCCCGCAUGUCAUGCCAUGUUUUGCAUCAUGUUGCUUGCGCAUUGCACCAUGAUUGAUUGUUGGUCCUUUGCUUGUGUUUUUGAUUUGGAUAGAGCCGAGAAAUGAUUACGUGAUCGAGGAACCCAUUGAGUACGCUUACAAGGAUCAAGAUUUCGUCAACUCGGAGAACUUUGCAGGCAACAUGACCAUACCCUUGAAAUCACUUCUAUCUUUGCUUGCUAGUUGUUCGUUCUUUUGCUAUGCCGCGAUACCUACCACAUGCUAUAUCAUGCCUCCCAUAUUGCCAAGUAAAUACUCUAACCCACCUUUCCUAACAAACCAUUGUUUGUGUAUGUUACCGCUUUGCUCAGCCUCUUGUAUAGCGUUGCUAGUUGCAGGUGAAGAUGGAGUUUGUUCCUUGUUGGAACAUGAUUAUUGUUGGGAUAUCAUUAUUAUAUCUUGUUUACUUUAAUGCAUCUAUAUACUUCGUAAAGGGUGGAAGGCUCGGCCUUAUGCCUGGUGUUUUGUUCCACUCUUGCCGCCCUAGUUUUUGUCAUACCGGUGUUAUGUUCCUUGAUUUUGCAUUCCUUAUGCGGUUGGGUUAUAAUGGGAACCCCUUGACAGUUCGCCUUGAAUAAAACUCGUCCAGCAAGGCCCAACCUUGGUUUUACCAUUUGCCACCUAAGCCUUUUUCCCUUGGGUUCCGUGGAGUGUUGGUCCAAACUAAAGACCUUUGCAGCGCCACCUCGGGGAAACUCGAGGUUGGUUUUAGUUGUACGGAGCGCUCAUCCGGUGUGCCCUGAGAACGAGAUACGUGUGACUCCUAUUGGGAUUUGUCGGCACAUCGGGCGGCUUUGCUGGUCUUGUUUUACAAUUGUCAAAAUGUCUUGUAACCGGGAUUCCGAGUCUGAUCGGGUCGUCCUGGGAGAAGGAAUAUCCUUCGUUGACCGUGAGAGCUUGUGAUGGGCUAAGUUGGGACAUCCCUGCAUGGUUCUGAACUUUCGAUUAUGGGCAGAUGGGAAUUUGUUAAUAUCCAGUUGUAGAAAACCUGAAACUUAACUUAAUUAAAAUGAAUCAACCGCGUGUGUAACCGUGAUGGUCUAUUUUCGGCGGAGCCCGGGAAGAGAACACGGUCUCGUGUUAUGCUUGAACGUAAGUAGUUUCAGGAUCACUUCUUGAUCUUUAUAGCUUCUCGACCGAGUUUUGCUUCUCUUCUCGCUCUCUUUUGCGUAAGUUAGCCACCAUGUAUGCUAGUGCUUGCUGCAGAUCCACCUCACUACCUUUUUCUACCCAUAAGCUUAAAUAGUCUUGAUCACGAGGGUGUGACAUUGCUGAGUCUCGUGACUCACAGAUUACUUCCAAAACCAGAUGCAGGUGCCAAUGAUGCCAGUGUAGGGGACGCUACCGAACUCAAGUGGGAGUUCGACGAGGAUUCAAGACGUUACUUUGUGUCUUUUUCGGACGAUCAGUAGAGGAGCCCAGUUGGGGCGAUCGAGGAUCUAUGCAUUUCGGGUUGUCUUUAUUUAUGUUGCUUCCGUAGUCGGACAUUGAUUGUAUUCUGGAUGAUGUAAUGCUAUAUUUAUGUAUUGUGUGAAGUGGCGAUUGUAAGCCAACUCUUUAUCCCUUUCUUAUUUAGUACAUGGGAUGUGUAAAUAUUACCCCUCUUGCGACAUGCCUACUAUGCGGUUAUGCCUCUAAGUCGUGCUCCGACACGUGGGGGAUAUAGCUGCAUCGUGGGUGUUACAUUGUGACACCCUGAUAGUUAAGCUACAAUAAACGCUUGCUAAUCAUGCCAGUUCAUCAUAAUUAAACUUUUUCUAAACCUCACUUGUUUCAAACUGAGAUCAAAUUCAAAUUCAAAUAACAAGUCAAAUUAUAAUUUCAUAAAAACAGUGGAUUAAAUAAAAUGUUCGACGGGUUGUAAGUAUUCACUAACAAAUUAACAAACAUCAAACAACAUUUCGGUAAUGUUCAUAUGCCUCUAAGAUAAUUAAAAUAGGAACAAAAACACUUAAAUCAACCUUUUAAAAGUAAACAAAUAUUAAUCCUUAUCAAAAUGACUUGAAACGUUGUGUGCAACUCAAUUAUAUGACCCAUUAUUUAUGUGCCAAGUUUCAUGUUCACCAAAAUUCAUUCUCUACAUAAACUAAAUGCAAAACAGAGGAAAAAUAAUUAAACAAAAAAAGUAAAAGACCUCAACUACUAGUGGACUGGGCUCUAGGUCAGCAGUGGGAGCCCAACCCACCUCGCCACCUCCUCCUUCCAACUACUCAAGAGGAGCACCGUGGACGCGCGAGCCCCGUCCAUGGACGCAGAUGGCCACAGGGCAUCCAUCCCGUGGCGACCCGAUGCAAAUAAGGUCUCCCCCGAGCCCCAAACGAACCCUAGCUGCCCCAGAUCUCACCUCCCCUUCCCCAUCGCUCUCUCCCUCGCUCUCCCCUCUCUCCUGAGCACCACAAUUGGCGAUCCCCGCUGAAGCUCAUGGCCACUAUCGUCCCCAUGCCCCCCGUCGUGCCCAGCUGCUCCGCCAGGCGCUCCCUCGUCAACCAUACCUCCAGAACGAGGCGGGGAUACCUCGUCGUCGUGGCCAUCAACCUCUUCUUCCCGGUGUCGCUCGUCGUUGUCGGCAUCGAUCCACGGAUGUCGCUGCAUCGCCGGCCUGUCCCAGCUCAUCCUCCGCCUCACUGUGAGCUCCGCCACUCCCCUGGUUAUUCCCGAGCUCGGUUUCAAGCUCGCGCGUGCUCACCUCCUUGUCCGAAGCCAUCGCCGCCCGCGCCUCCGGAUCCAGCCGCUAUCGCGCCCCUGGCCGCUACCUCCUCGCCUCGCAGCUCGCCUCGCCCCGCUCCCAAUCAUUGCAUGUUCGUCGCCCGCUGUCGUGCCUCACCUAGCCAUGCCCCCGCCGUCCGCGUGCCUCCACCGCACCGAUCGCACCUCAUGUCGGCCUCGCCCGUUGCUCCCCUGUGGCCCGAGCCGUUGCUGCUGGCCUCGACGCGACAGGCCGCACCCGUCUCCGGUUGUCGCUCCGAUGCUGCUCUGCUGCGCCGGACCACCCGCUCGCGCCCCACUCCCCCUGGCACCGUUGCUCCUCUCCUGCGCCCCGCCGUGGCCCCCUGCUCGCCUGCAGCCCGCUCGCCCCACUCCGGCCAUCGCCGAGCGCGCCCGCAGGUGCCUCCCCCUCUCGCGCCUGCCAUUGCUGGCACGUCCCGCUGUAGCCAGCCGCACCGACCACCCCCGCCACUACUGCCCCACGUCGCUCCUCCCCCACUUGGCCUCGCUCGCUGGUCGACGGCCCCCAGCCACUCACGGCCCCUGGUACCUUCUCCGCGGCCGGCGCGCUCCCUUGUCUGGCGCCUGGUUGCGUUCGGCCACGCCCAGGCACCCGCACCCGUGUGCCCGCCCCGAUAUGCCCCCUGGGCCUAUGACACGGGGCCCCCAUGCUCCUUCAAAAAAAAGAAAUUAAAAAAAUAAUUAAAUAAUUAGAUAAUUAAUUAACUUAGUUAAAUCUGUUAAUUUAACCCAAUGACUUAAUUAAACUAACUAAUCCUAUUUAGUUAGCUGAGUCAAUGACAUACCGGCCCAUCUGUCAAUUUGACUGGUCAAGGUUCAAAGUUGACCGCUGAUGUCAUACUGAUGUCAUGCUGAUACAAUAAUACUAUUUUUGAAUUAAAUUAAAAUUAAUAAUUUAAAAAUUUAUUAAAUCUUUAAAAAAUAAUAUAAAAUAAACCGUAGCUCAGUUGGGAAAACUUUGUAUAUGAAAGUUGCUCAGAAGGACGAGACGAGGAAUACGCAGCCCGUUCGUCCGGCACACAUCCCUAGCAUAGCGAACACGCAAUUUUCGCCCUUCGGUUCGACUAUCUGAAAAUGCCAAACACUGGGAAUACUUUCUCGGAUGUUUUCCCCCAUCGCCGAUAUCACCUUGUGUUAGCUCACCCCUGACACCGCGUAUUGCCAUGUUAUGCUUUGUGAUUCUUUGAUUGCUCCGUUAUUUAUUGUGUUCCCCCUUCGUUACUUCUUUCCUUUAGACCCCGAGACUUCUGGCGACCCACAGUUCGACUACGGUGUUGACGACCAUUCCUUCUUGCAGAGCAACUAGGCAAGCCCCCCCCCCUUGAUCACCAGAUAUCGCCUAUUCCUUUUAUCUACUUCUUGCAUUAGAGUACAGUAGCAUGUUACUGUUUUGGGUUAAUCCUAUUCUGUUGCAUAGCAUGUCUUUGUUGCUAAAGUUGUCACCCUUACCAACUAUCCUAAAUGCUCAGUAUAGGAUGCUAGUAUUCCAUUAGUGGCCCUACAUUCUUGUCCGUCUGCCAUGCUAUACUAUCGGGUUGUAACCACUUGGGAGGUGAUCAAGGGUAUACACUUAUAUACAUCAUAUGUGAUACUUGUGGUGACUAAAGUCGGGUUGGCUCGUAGAGUACCCGCAAGUGAUUCCGAUGUGGGGGCUGAAGGGGCAGGUGGUUCCAUCCAGGUAGUGGUGGGCCUGGGUUCCCGAUGGCCCCCGACUGUUACUUUGUGGCGGAGCGACAUGGCAGGUUGAGACCACCUAGGUGAGAGGUGGGCCUGGCCCUGGUCGGUGUCCGCAAUUGCUUCAAAAUAAAACGCAUAACGAGAUCUUGGUAUUUGAUCUGAUUCUGGCCACUGGCCUAUAAGCACUAGCCUUCUUGACGUCAAAGAUUGAGUGGCACGCACCGGGUUGGACGGGAACACCUGCUCUUGUAUGAGGGAGGCUAGGUCUGCUUACCGGCCGCGUUCGCAACAUGCAGGCGUGCAAUGGGUGAUGGGCACAGACCCCUGCGCAUAGGAUUUAGACCGGUGUGCUGACCUCUCUGUUGUGCCUAGGUGGGGCUGUGACGUGUUGAUCUUCUGAGGCUGGGCAUGACCCAGGAAAGUGUGUCCGGCCAAAGGGGAUCGAGCGUGUUGGGAAAUGUGGUGCACCCCUGCAGGGAAGUUUAUCUAUUCUAAUAGCCAUGUCCCUCGGUAAAAGGACGACCUGGAGUUGUACCUUAUCCUUAUGACAACUAGAACCGGAUACUUAAUAAUACACACCCUUUCAAGUGCCAGAUACAACCCGGUAAUCGCUCUCUAACAGGGCGACAAGGAGAGGAUCGCCGGAUAGGUUUAUGCUAUACGAUGAUACUUGGUUAACUUACCAUCUACUCUCUUCUGCUGCUUCAAGAUGGAGGCUGCCAGAAGCAUAGUGUUUGAUAGGACUAGAUAUCCCCCUCUUAUUCUGGCAUUCUGCAGUUCAGUCCACAGAUACUAUCCAUUUCAUUGAUACCAAUGCAUAUGUAGUGUAGAUCCUUGCUUGCGUGUACCUUGGAUGAGUACUCACGGUUGCUUUGUAUUUUCUUUUUCCCCUUUCCCAGUUAUUGCAAUCAUAUGGUGCAGUCCAGGAGCUAGUGAAUCCCGAGGAUGAUUUUCUACAUGGAGUUCUGCUUCGAGGAGUAGUUAGGAGGUCCCAGGCAGGAGGCCUUACCUUUUCGAUCUAUAUCCCUAUUUUUGCUAGCCAUCUUAUGGCAACUUGUUUUAUCUUAUGUCCGUACUUAGAUAUUGUUUCUUCCCCUGACUCUUGUCUAUUCGAGCUUAUGUAUUCGAGCCCUCGAGGUCCCUGUCUUGUAAUAUAAAGCUUGUAUUAUUUUAAUUUAUGUCUAUAGUUGUGUUGUGAUAUCUUCUCGUGAGUCCUUGAU